GAGACGACUGUAAGAUAAAGACAAUCGUUAAUGGGCUUCCCAGACCUUCCAGCAGACGAGAAAGUUUAGGCAAAGCUGACAUGAUUAAUCUUCUAGAUGGUAAAAGAAAAGAGAGAAUUCGCGCAGUAAAACACCGGCAGAUGCUGCGGCGCAAUGGAGUAUGGGAAGCAGGCAGGGUCGCAAAGGAGCAUGGGAGGCAAGAUCUGACGCAAAGGGGAAUUCUGGUUGAGCUAUGUGCAGGCAGGCUCAAGAUAAACAAAUUUCUAUUCAUUGAUUCUAUUCAUAUUAUUCAUUCAUA